AUAACCCUACAUACUUCAGCAAACUAAAUGUACGCCGCUGGAAAAAAAAAAAAAAAGAAGAAACUUGCAGACUUUUCUUUGGUCGUCGUCUUUGUAACCCAACCACUCGAUACAAUUCAAUCCUUUUAUCUUCCAUUGUAUAUGGAUGAAUGACCAAUAUCUUCAUUCUCCAUUUAUUAUCUUCAUCAAAAUCACUCUCGUUUAUAUGUCACGUGAAGGAGAAAUCAAACUGUGACCUAUUCUUUCCGGCAUCAACAUUGUCGCGAAGCUUUUCUGGCCUCUGUAGUGGUGCAAAGAAACAACGACAAGCAUUUUUGCGUUCUCCACGUCGAGAGCUUUGUCCUCUAUCUCUUCAUUUUUAAGUUUCGCCAACAUUCACGAAAACCCGACGGCGGUGGCGUUACGUGUUGUUGUUAUCCGUAAGCACCGUUUCGAGUCAUCUGUGUCAGUAAGGUUCUCCGAAAUUUUUUUUUUCUUCCUUCCAUAAUUUCAAUUAUGUUUCUGCUCUUAAUAUCAUUUAUUACAUAUUUGACUUUUUAUCAUCAUCACAAAUUCUCAGCUGCGAUUUGGUUAUUCUCUGGACCAACUUUCAAACAAUUUAUUUUUGGAUUGCUCUAACGUUGCUGAAAUUUAAUUUCUUAUCGUACGAGAUCGCCAAAUGAGGUAUGGGGUGAGAGUGAGUUCGAAUUCAUGAGUGUAAAUUAAGUUUGAUGAACGGGAAAAUCGUAUUUCCCAUAAUUCAUUCGGGGCUCGCAACGUACAGUUGAAGCCCUUUGAGUAUUAAUUGACUAAUGAAAAAGCUUGAAUUUGGUGAGGUUAAAAUACGAGUUAGAAACCUUUAUAGGUGUUGUUUGAUUUGAUUUUGAAGAUCGUGUGGUAGUUGAAUUAUUGUAGAAUUGUGUACUUGAUGUAUUCUGUGUUUUGUUUAUAUCAACCCUUGAUAUUGUUAUAUGAUAUAAAAUCUGAUAAUUGUUAUUAUUUGCAUUUCAAUUGGCGUAGUGUGCGUGAAUGAUUUAGUAUUAUUAUCUGUGAGUGAAAAUCCUAUAUUGUUGGAGCUUGUGUAUUCUGAUGAUAAAUUUUGAAUGUGAUAUGUGACUAUGAAAAUAUGCAUUGAUGAUCUGUACUUAUUGACUUAUGAUGUUACCACUUGAUGAAUAUCAUGAAAUGCAUAUUGUGUUUAAUUGAAUAGUGAUGAAUCCGACCUGUGUCAAUGAUGGUUCUCUUAAUGGAGUGAGUAGCAUAGGCCAACGAGGGGAGCAUCUGGAUAUUAUUUGUUUGAAGUGGGGAUUAUCUUGUCAUCAUAUAAUUAGAGCCUAACAAGCCUAGUGAUAUCGGGGAAGUACAACUGAAUUGCGUUUGAUUGUGGCGGUCUACUAUUGAGCCUUAAGGCAAGAUUGUUAGAUCUUGGAGGUAUCCAGGUGGGGAAUUCCUAGGUGACUUGGAGGUAGCACUCCAAAUGUCGGGAGCUACCACGCAACACAUGUUUACCUCGACUGUCGCGUAUAUGUGCCUCGGGUAGAGUUGAUGGGAUCUAUAAGGACAAGACCAACUUGAAUUGUCCGCCCACCUGCGUGGUGGCAUAGUAUCGAGCCUCAUAACGAAGUACUUUAGAGUUAGAAUGGUACCAAAGAAAGAGGAAGAGUCUAGAGUAUAAGAGCAUGCAUAACAUUACUUGAUUUGUGUGAUUACUUACUGGAUGUUGUGGAUUGUAUCAUUGUUUUACCAUGAUUAUUCUUAUUGAUUGUGAUUUGAUAUGAUACUAUGUUUAAUAUAUUUUACGUGUUUUUUGUAAUUAUUUUAUACUAUUGCAUGAUUUGAUAUGAUAUUGUGUUUAAUAUCUUGUUGGAUGUUGUGGAUUGUAUCAAUGUUUUACCUUGAUUAUUCUUCGUUGCAUGUAUUUGGCGCUUGCAAAAGUGCAGUUAUUUUAGGUUAUUGGUUGGUGAUCCAUGCUCUGAUAGGUGAUACUGGGUGAGAGUAAUUUCUUGUAUUUUGUUGAGUUAUGAACUAAUUUAGAUUUUUGUAAAUUCAAUCGAUCAAUUGUGUUAUUUUUAUCUUUUAUCCGGAGGUAGAAAUAAAUUUUCUCUAAGUUUAAAACGUGUUUUUAUGUCAGAAAUAUUUAUUUAAAAGACCUCAACUAUAUUUGAUAUUAAAGGAUUUUUAAUUGAAAAUUUUUAUGCAAG